rnacentral:lncRNA from 1 species
CUCAUUCUUGACUUGGAUUGUAGCGUCUGUUUUCUGCCUCAUGCGAAAAGCUGGAAAAGAGUAUCUCUGUUUCUUACUUCAGUUAAUGGAUAUUUUUACUCAACAAGAAACAUCCAACGCCGAUUGUGUUAUUGUAGUUGAGUCACGAGCAAGUCAACCAAUGCGUUCUACAAUUUUAACGCUAGAAUGCUGACAGAUAUUUAUAAAUUCUGAGUUGUUUGCUUUGACGUAUUACAACUUACAUUUACGACAUAAUACGACGAAAGAUACCGAUACUGACGCAUCGUUUGGAUCUUCAAAGAGUCAUCAGUGUUGACAAUAAUGUUGGCAAGUGUUUCGUCAAGACAUAAACGAAGACGCAUUCAGAAAAAAUUAGUUACCGAUAGUGCGUUUUAUGAGGAAGAUGCCGAAAAACAUUCAUCUGCUACUGAAAGUGUCACAGGUGCGAGUGAAUGAAACAGUGGUCAAAGUGAUUCAUUCCCUAACAAUCUAUUUCAAGAUGAUUUCAUUGCAGAAGUUGUCGAAGUAGUAAUGCACUGAUUAAAUUAUCUAUUUUGAGUUUCAUAUUGUACCUGAUAAGUUAAACUUUUUUGAGUUUCAUAUUGUACCUAAAGAAAUAAAAUAAA